AGGGUGCGAGCGUUAAUCGGAAUUACUGGGCGUAAAGCGCAUGCAGGUGGUUUGUUAAGUCAGAUGUGAAAGCCCGGGGCUCAACCUCGGAAUUGCAUUUGAAACUGGCAAACUAGAGUACUGUAGAGGGGGUAGAAUUUCAGGUGUAGCGGUGAAAUGCGUAGAGAUCUGAAGGAAUACCGGUGGCGAAGGCGGCCCCCUGGACAGAUACUGACACUCAGAUGCGAAAGCGUGGGGAGCAAACAGGAUUAGAUACCCUGGUAG
rnacentral:rRNA from 1 species